CAGCACUAGCAUCAGGAACAUUACACAAUCCCUGGGACCUAUAAAUCCAGGAUUUCCCUGUUCCCCAUCUCUUUACGGCCCUUCACUCCUCUUCAUGGUGGAAUCCCCACCAAGGCUCAGCCAUGCGGAUCCUCCAGCUGCUCUUUGCAAUCAUUGUCAUGCUCUUCUUCCAGGAUGUUCCCGCCAGAGGUCUUCCGGACAGCCAGCAGUGCAGGAACAACCACGGACACUGCCGGAGGCUUUGCUUCCACAUGGAGCGGUGGGCAGGGAGCUGCAGCAACGGUCGCCAGCGCUGCUGCAAGUGAAAGAGGCCACGCCGAGUGGGAGCACCCCAGGGACACCAGCCUGAAACCAGAACUGUAUGUAGGAGUGGCUUUUGGACACCACUUGUGUCUACACCCACAGUUCGGCUUAUCCAUCACCAAUAAAUCUGGCAGUUUUAUAUAAC